UCAAUAGUUUCAAGUAUCUUACAUCAAUUUUGUUUCAUUUCUUUUGAAUUUGUAUACUUUGUUACUCAAACCUUAAUUGAUAAAGAGUUCUUCAUAUUUUGUUGGCUCCGUUUUCUUUUAUGUUGUCUGAGAUGUGUUCUUUAUUGUAUUCUCGUCAUAUGAGUCAAAUAUAGAGAGGAUCUGAAAAAAGUUGUGACGUCAGCAUAGUUUGGAAGUUGUACUCUGAAGAUGGUUUCAUUCUGAGUAUAAAUCUCGAACUGGAGUAAAGUCUGAUGGGGUUUUCAAUAUCUUGGAACGACUUGUCACACAGAAAACUAAUGAGGAUGAUUCAAAUUUUAAAUAUAAAUAUAUUUCUUUCUCAGAUAAA